GUAAUUGCAAGACUAAACACCACGUCUAAUCUAUUAACUACUACUCUAGCGUUAUAAAGACUAGAGUACUUGAUGCAAGCGGGAAUCCAAUAAAUAACUUGAAUGUAAAUAAAAGUAAUUAAAGAACUCAGGAAUUAUGAAUUGAAGAACUUGGAGAACGUGAAGAACGAACGAGUUGCUGCAAAAGUACAAUGUUGAGGAAGAUCCG
rnacentral:lncRNA from 1 species